ACUCACUGCAAACGCCAUAGUUCUCUGCAUCAGAAGACAAAUGAGAAACCACAAUAGGUAAACCGUCAUGAGAACAAUCAUUUCAAUUGGAUUUGUCAAUUUUUAUUUGGUCUUGAUCCUGGUCUGGUGAAAGGAAGGCUUAUUCCGGUUUGGUAUUCUGGAGUGUUUGAAGGUUUUGACUUUCCGGUUUCCUUGACUGACCCAAAUAGGAUCGGUUGCGUAUAAGGUUAUCAGUUAUUCGGAUUAGGAUAUAGGGACUAGGGGACUAACCGAGUUGCCAUUGAACUCCAACGG